rnacentral:rRNA from 1 species
GUCGAACGAAGCAUUUAAGGACGAUUCUUCGGAUGAGGACUUUUAUGACUGAGUGGCGGACGGGUGAGUAACGCGUGGGUAACCUGCCCUAUACAGGGGGAUAACAGUUAGAAAUGACUGCUAAUACCGCAUAAGCGCACUAGAACCGCAUGGUUCGGUGUGAAAAACUGAGGUGGUAUAGGAUGGACCCGCGUCUGAUUAGCUUGUUGGUGGGGUAACGGCUCAUCAAGGCGACGAUCAGUAGCCGGCCUGAGAGGGCGACCGGCCACAUUGGGACUGAGACACGGCCCAAACUCCUACGGGAGGCAGCAGUGGGGAAUAUUGCACAAUGGGGGAAACCCUGAUGCAGCGACGCCGCGUGAGUGAAGAAGUAUUUCGGUAUGUAAAGCUCUAUCAGCAGGGAAGAAAAUGACGGUACCUGACUAAGAAGCCCCGGCUAACUACGUGCCAGCAGCCGCGGUAAUACGUAGGGGGCAAGCGUUAUCCGGAUUUACUGGGUGUAAAGGGAGCGUAGGUGGCAUGGUAAGCCAGAAGUGAAAACCCAGGGCUCAACUCUGUGGAUUGCUUUUGGAACUAUCAAGCUAGAGUGCUGGAGGGGUAAGCGGAAUUCCUAGUGUAGCGGUGAAAUGCGUAGAUAUUAGGAGGAACACCGGUGGCGAAGGCGGCUUACUGGACAGAAACUGACACUGAGGCUCGAAAGCGUGGGGAGCAAAC